UGGGGAAUAUUGGACAAUGGGCGAAAGCCUGAUCCAGCCAUGCCGCGUGAGUGAUGACGGCCCUAGGGUUGUAAAGCUCUUUCAGUGGGGAAGAUAAUGACGGUACCAACAGAAGAAGCCCCGGCUAACUUCGUGCCAGCAGCCGCGGUAAUACGAAGGGGGCUAGCGUUGUUCGGAAUCACUGGGCGUAAAGCGCACGUAGGCGGACACUUAAGUCAGAGGUGAAAUCCCAAGGCUCAACCUUGGAACUGCCUUUGAUACUGGGUGUCUUGAGUUCGGGAGAGGUGAGUGGAACUGCGAGUGUAGAGGUGAAAUUCGUAGAUAUUCGCAAGAACACCAGUGGCGAAGGCGGCUCACUGGCCCGAUACUGACGCUGAGGUGCGAAAGCGUGGGGAGCAAA
rnacentral:rRNA from 1 species